GCCCUGGUGGUGGAAUUGGUAGAAACAAGGGAUUUAAAAUCCCUCGGCGUUCGCGCUGUGCCGGUUCAAGUCCGGCCCGGGGCACCA
rnacentral:tRNA from 1 species